GUGAGGAAUAUUGGUCAAUGGGCGGGAGCCUGAACCAGCCAAGUCGCGUGAAGGAAGAAGGAUCUAUGGUUCGUAAACUUCUUUUGCAGGGGAAUAAAGUGCAGGACGUGUCCUGUUUUGUAUGUACCCUGAGAAUAAGGAUCGGCUAACUCCGUGCCAGCAGCCGCGGUAAUACGGAGGAUCCGAGCGUUAUCCGGAUUUAUUGGGUUUAAAGGGUGCGUAGGUGGUUUGAUAAGUCAGCGGUGAAAGUUUGCAGCUUAACUGUAAAAAUGCCGUUGAAACUGUCGGACUGGAGUGUAAAUGAGGUAGGCGGAAUGCGUGGUGUAGCGGUGAAAUGCAUAGAUAUCACGCAGAACUCCGAUUGCGAAGGCAGCUUACUAAGCUACAACUGACACUGAAGCACGAAAGCGUGGGGAUCAAACAGGAUUAGAUACCCCAGUAGUCC
rnacentral:rRNA from 1 species